UUGGAGGGCAAGUCUGGUGCCAGCAGCCGCGGUAAUUCCAGCUCCAAUAGCGUAUAUUAAAGUUGUUGCAGUUAAAAAGCUCGUAGUUGAAUUUCGGGAUCAAUAUACCGGUCGUGCCUCAGGUAUGAGCUGGUCUUAUUGGUUUCUCCCUUCUGACGAACCAUGAUGUCAUUAAUUUGAUGUCGUGGAGAAUCAGGACUGUUACUUUGAAAAAAUUAGAGUGUUUAAAGCAGGCUAACGCUUGAAUACAUUAGCAUGGAAUAAUGAAAUAGGACGUUUGAUUCUAUUUUGUUGGUUUCUAGGAUCGACGUAAUGAUUAAUAGGGAUAGUUGGGGGCAUUAGUAUUCAAUUGUCAGAGGUGAAAUUCUUGGAUUUAUUGAAGACUAACUACUGCGAAAGCAUUUGCCAAGGAUGUCUUCAUUAAUCAAGAACGAAAGUUAGGGGAUCGAAGACGAUCAGAUACCGUCGUAGUCUUAACCAUAAACUAUGCCGACUAGGGAUCGGAUGAUGUUAAUUUUUUAAUGACUCAUUCGGCGCCUUACGGGAAACCAAAGUGUUUGGGUU
rnacentral:rRNA from 1 species